GCCGACGACCAUCUCACCCUGAACGCGCCUGAUCUCGUCUGAUCUUGGAAGCUAAACAGAGUCGAGCCUGGUUAGUAAUUGGAUGGGAGACUGCCUGGGAAUACCAGGUGUUGUAGGCC
ensembl:rRNA 5S_rRNA 5S ribosomal RNA